GAUGAACGCUGGCGGCGUGCCUAAUACAUGCAAGUCGAGCGAACGGACGAGAAGCUUGCUUCUCUGAUGUUAGCGGCGGACGGGUGAGUAACACGUGGAUAACCUACCUAUAAGACUGGGAUAACUUCGGGAAACCGGAGCUAAUACCGGAUAAUAUUUUGAACCGCAUGGUUCAAAAGUGAAAGACGGUCUUGCUGUCACUUAUAGAUGGAUCCGCGCUGCAUUAGCUAGUUGGUAAGGUAACGGCUUACCAAGGCAACGAUGCAUAGCCGACCUGAGAGGGUGAUCGGCCACACUGGAACUGAGACACGGUCCAGACUCCUACGGGAGGCAGCAGUAGGGAAUCUUCCGCAAUGGGCGAAAGCCUGACGGAGCAACGCCGCGUAAGUGAUGAAGGUCUUCGGAUCGUAAAACUCUGUUAUUAGGGAAGAACAUAUGUGUAAGUAACUGUGCACAUCUUGACGGUACCUAAUCAGAAAGCCACGGCUAACUACGUG
rnacentral:rRNA from 1 species